AGAACGAACGCUGGCGGCAUGCCUAACACAUGCAAGUCGAGCGAGACCUUCGGGUCUAGUGGCGCACGGGUGCGUAACGCGUGGGAAUCUGCCCUUGGGUUCGGGAUAACAGUUGGAAACGACUGCUAAUACCGGAUGAUGACUUCGGUCCAAAGAUUUAUCGCCCAGGGAUGAGCCCGCGUAGGAUUAGCUAGUUGGUGAGGUAAAGGCUCACCAAGGCGACGAUCCUUAGCUGGUCUGAGAGGAUGAUCAGCCACACUGGGCUGAGACACGGCCCAGACUCCGUACGGGAGGCAGCAGGUGGGGAAUAGUUGGACAAGUGGGCGAAAGCCUGAUCCAGCAAUGACCGCGUGAGUGAUGAAGUCCGUUAGGGUUGUAAAGCUUACGUUUUACCCGGGAUAGAUAAUGAACAGUAACCGGAGAAACGUAAGCCCGGUACUAACGUCCGCGCCAGCAGCCGAC
rnacentral:rRNA from 1 species